rnacentral:misc_RNA from 1 species
CGCAGCCGCGGUAAUUCCAGCUCCAAUAGCGUAUAUUAAAGUUGUUGCAGUUAAAAAGCUCGUAGUUGAAUUUCGGGAUCAAUAUGUUGGUCGUGCCUUGGUACGUACUGGCGUCAUUGGUUUCUACCUUCUGAAGAACCUCGAUGUCAUUAAUUUGGUGUCUUGGGGAAUCAGGACUGUUACUUUGAAAAAAUUAGAGUGUUUAAAGCAAGCUCACGCUUGAAUACAUUAGCAUGGAAUAAUGAAAUAGGACGUUUGAUUCUAUUUUGUUGGUUUCUAGGAUCGACGUAAUGAUUAAUAGGGAUAGUUGGGGGCAUUAGUAUUCAAUUGUCAGAGGUGAAAUUCUUGGAUUUAUUGAAGACUAACUACUGCGAAAAGCAUUUGCCAAGGAUGUUUUCAUUAAUCAAGAACGAAAGUUAGGGGAUCGAAGACGAUCAGAUACCGUCGUAGUCUUAACCAUAAACUAUGCGACUAGGGAUCGGAUGAUGUUAAUUUUAAUUGACUCAUUCGGCGCCUUAAC